UUCGGGACGCCGGCGAGUGGCGAACGGGUGAGUAACACGUGGAGACCUGCCCUGGGGUGGGGGAUAACAGCUAGAAAUGGCUGCUAAUACCGCAUACGCCUUACGAGGGAAAGAUUUAUUGCCCCAGGAGGGUUCCGCGUCGGAUUAGCUUGUUGGUGGGGUAACGGCCUACCAAGGCGACGAUCCGUAGCUGGUCUUAGAGGAUGAUCAGCCACACUGGGACUGAGACACGGCCCAGACUCCUACGGGAGGCAGCAGUGGGGAAUAUUGCGCAAUGGGGGAAACCCUGACGCAGCGAUGCCGCGUGGGUGAAUAAGGCCUUAGGGUUGUAAAGCCCUUUCAGUGGGAACGAUGAUGACGGUACCCACAGAAGAAGCCCCGGCUAACUCCGUGCCAGCAGCCGCGGUAAUACGGAGGGGGCGAGCGUUGUUCGGAAUUAUUGGGCGUAAAGAGCGCGUAGGCGGCUUGUUAAG
rnacentral:rRNA from 1 species